UACGGAGGAUCCAAGCGUUAUCCGGAAUCAUUGGGUUUAAAGGGUCCGUAGGCGGUUUAGUAAGUCAGUGGUGAAAGCCCAUCGCUCAACGGUGGAACGGCCAUUGAUACUGUUAAACUUGAAUUAUUAGGAAGUAACUAGAAUAUGUAGUGUAGCGGUGAAAUGCUUAGAGAUUACAUGGAAUACCAAUUGCGAAGGCAGGUUACUACUAAUGGAUUGACGCUGAUGGACGAAAGCGUGGGUAGCGAACAGG
rnacentral:rRNA from 1 species